rnacentral:rRNA from 1 species
GAUGAACGCUAGCGACAGGCUUAACACAUGCAAGUCGAGGGGCAGCACGGGAGUAGCAAUACAACUGGUGGCGACCGGCGCACGGGUGAGUAACGCGUAUGCAACCUACCUAUCAGAGGGGAAUAACCCGGCGAAAGUCGGACUAAUACCGCAUAAAACAGGGGCACCGCAUGGUGAUAUUUGUUAAAGAAAUUCGCUGAUAGAUGGGCAUGCGUUCCAUUAGGUAGUUGGUGAGGUAACGGCUCACCAAGCCGACGAUGGAUAGGGGAACUGAGAGGUUGGUCCCCCACACUGGUACUGAGACACGGACCAGACUCCUACGGGAGGCAGCAGUGAGGAAUAUUGGUCAAUGGGCGAGAGCCUGAACCAGCCAAGUCGCGUGAAGGAAGAAGGAUCUAUGGUUCGUAAACUUCUUUUGCAGGGGAAUAAAGUGCAGGACGUGUCCUGUUUUGUAUGUACCCUAAGAAUAAGGAUCGGCUAACUCCGUGCCAGCCGCCGCAGUAAAAC